rnacentral:rRNA from 1 species
UACGUAGGGGGCAAGCGUUGUCCGGAUUUACUGGGCGUAAAGAGCGCGCAGGCGGUUGAUUAAGUCGAAUGUGAAAGCCCCCGGCUCAACUGGGGAGGGUCAUUCGAUACUGAUCGACUUGAAGGCAGGAGAGGGAAGUGGAAUUCCGGGUGUAGUGGUGAAAUGCGUAGAUAUCCGGAGGAACACCAGUGGCGAAGGCGACUUCCUGGCCUGUUCUUGACGCUGAGGCGCGAAAGCUGGGGGAGCAAACGGG